AUAAUAAUUAAUUAAAUUAUUACUUAAAUGAGUUAACUCAUUUAACAACUCAACCCAUCAAAUUAAAUGAGUUAUGGGUUGACCCAACCCAUUUAACAAAAUGACUUGGGUCAACCCAUAACUCAUUUAACCCUUAACUCAUUUGAUUAUGAGUUGAGUUGAGUUGGGUUACCCAUUUUGACACCCCUAGCUUCUAUAAAACUUAGAUGAAUUCUCUUAUUCCAUUCCUUCAAGGAGAAUUUUUUUUUAAAUGGU
rnacentral:sRNA from 1 species